rnacentral:rRNA from 1 species
UGCANGUCGAACGCUCGUAGCAAUACGGGAGUGGCAGACGGGUGAGUAACGCGUGGGAACAUACCCUCCGGUUCGGAAUAGCUCAGGGAAACUUGGAUUAAUACCGGAUACGGCUGAGAGGCGAAAGAUUUAUCGCCGGAGGAUUGGCCCGCGUUCGAUUAGCUAGUUGGUGAGGUAACGGCUCACCAAGGCGAUGAUCGAUAGCUGGUCUGAGAGGAUGAUCAGCCACAUUGGGACUGAGACACGGCCCAAACUCCUACGGGAGGCAGCAGUGGGGAAUAUUGGACAAUGGGCGCAAGCCUGAUCCAGCCAUGCCGCGUGAGUGAUGAAGGCCUUAGGGUUGUAAAGCUCUUUCGCUCGGGACGAUAAUGACGGUACCGAGAUAAGAAGCCCCGGCUAACUUCGUGCCAGCAGCCGCGGUAAUACGAAGGGGGCUAGCGUUGUUCGGAAUUACUGGGCGUAAAGCGCGUGUAGGCGGGUCUUUAAGUCAGGGGUGAAAUGCCAAGGCUCAACCUUGGAACUGCCUUUGAUACUGGAGAUCUUGAGUCCGGGAGAGGUGAGUGGAAUU